rnacentral:rRNA from 1 species
GACGAACGCUGGCGGCGUGCCUAAUACAUGCAAGUCGAACGCAGUUGCGAACGGGUGGGUGACGCGUAGGUAACUGCCUGGUCGCGGGGGAUAACUAUUGGAAACAAUAGCUACUACAGCAUACUACCAGAUGGACCUUCGUUGGAUUAGCUAGUUGGUGGGGUAACGGCCCACCAAGGCAACGAUUAAUAGCCGACCUGAGAGGGUGAUCGGCCACAAUGGGACUGAGACACGGCCCAGACUCCUACGGGAGGCAGCAGUAGGGAAUCUUCGGCAAUGGACGGAAGUCUGACCGAGCAACGCCGCGUGAGUGAAGAAGGUUUUCGGAUCGUAAAGCUCUGUUGUAAGAGAAGCGGUAUCUGAACAGAAAGGGACGGCUAACUACGUGCCAGCAGCCGCGGUAAUUC